AAUGUUUGAGCCGCACAUAUGUCUGACCUCUACAAAUAUCCAUUGAGAUCAACCUCAAACUGAUCUCUUCAUUGUAGAUUCUUCUUCUCCAAGUGAAAUCUUAGCCUUGAAACUUAGAUCAACACCUUAAUCUAGACUGCGGGAUCAACUCCUUGAUCUGCAGCCUUCUUCUUCUUCUCCUUGUUCUUCGCUCUUGAAGAAGAAUCACCUCAGACUUUUGGCAUAUGGAAGUGGGAUGCCCAACCCUUGGGCAUGGAAAAAGAAGAG
rnacentral:lncRNA from 1 species